UCCCUGGUGGUACAAUGGUUAGGACCUGGCACUUUCACUGCCGGGGCCAAGGUUCAAUCCCUGGUCGGGGAA
rnacentral:tRNA from 1 species